rnacentral:rRNA from 1 species
UUAAGUUAGAAAGGGCGCACGGUGGAUGCCUUGACACUAGGAGUCGAUGAAGGACGGGACUAACGCCGAUAUGCUUCGGGGAGCUGUAAGUAAGCUUUGAUCCGAAGAUUUCCGAAUGGGGAAACCCACCAUACGUAAUGGUAUGGUAUCCUUAUCUGAAUACAUAGGAUAAGGAAGACAGACCCAGGGAACUGAAACAUCUAAGUACCUGGAGGAAGAGAAAGCAAAUGCGAUUUCCUGAGUAGCGGCGAGCGAAACGGAACAUAGCCCAAACCAAGAGGCUUGCCUCUUGGGGUUGUAGGACAUUCUAUACGGAGUUACAAAGGAACGAGGUAGACGAAGCGACCUGGAAAGGUCCGUCGUAGAGGGUAACAACCCCGUAGUCGAAACUUCGUUCUCUCUUGAAUGUAUCCUGAGUACGGCGGAACACGUGAAAUUCCGUCGGAAUCUGGGAGGACCAUCUCCCAAGGCUAAAUACUCCCUAGUGAUCGAUAGUGAACCAGUACCGUGAGGGAAAGGUGAAAAGCACCCCGGAAGGGGAGUGAAAGAGAUCCUGAAACCGUGUGCCUACAAAUAGUCAGAGCCCGUUAACGGGUGAUGGCGUGCCUUUUGUAGAAUGAACCGGCGAGUUACGAUCCCGUGCGAGGUUAAGCUGAAGAGGCGGAGCCGCAGCGAAAGCGAGUCUGAAUAGGGCGUUUAGUACGUGGUCGUAGACCCGAAACCAGGUGAUCUACCCAUGUCCAGGGUGAAGUUCAGGUAACACUGAAUGGAGGCCCGAACCCACGCACGUUGAAAAGUGCGGGGAUGAGGUGUGGGUAGCGGAGAAAUUCCAAUCGAACCUGGAGAUAGCUGGUUCUCCCCGAAAUAGCUUUAGGGCUAGCCUUAAGUGUAAGAGUCUUGGAGGUAGAGCACUGAUUGGACUAGGGGUCCUCAUCGGAUUACCGAAUUCAGUCAAACUCCGAAUGCCAAUGACUUAUCCUUAGGAGUCAGACUGCGAGUGAUAAGAUCCGUAGUCAAAAGGGAAACAGCCCAGACCGCCAGCUAAGGUCCCAAAGUGUGUAUUAAGUGGAAAAGGAUGUGGAGUUGCUUAGACAACUAGGAUGUUGGCUUAGAAGCAGCCACCAUUUAAAGAGUGCGUAAUAGCUCACUAGUCGAGUGACUCUGCGCCAAAAAUGUACCGGGGCUAAAUACACCACCGAAGCUGCGGAUUGAUACCAAUGGUAUCAGUGGUAGGGGAGCGUUCUAAGGACAGUGAAGUCAGACCGGAAGGACUGGUGGAGUGCUUAGAAGUGAGAAUGCCGGUAUGAGUAGCGAAAGACGGGUGAGAAUCCCGUCCACCGAAUGCCUAAGGUUUCCUGAGGAAGGCUCGUCCGCUCAGGGUUAGUCAGGACCUAAGCCGAGGCCGACAGGCGUAGGCGAUGGACAACAGGUUGAUAUUCCUGUACCACCUCUUUAUCGUUUGAGCAAUGGAGGGACGCAGAAGGAUAGAAGAAGCGUGCGAUUGGUUGUGCACGUCCAAGCAGUUAGGCUGAUAAGUAGGCAAAUCCGCUUAUCGUGAAGGCUGAGCUGUGAUGGGGAAGCUCCUUAUGGAGCGAAGUCUUUGAUUCCCCGCUGCCAAGAAAAGCUUCUAGCGAGAUAAAAGGUGCCUGUACCGCAAACCGACACAGGUAGGCGAGGAGAGAAUCCUAAGGUGUGCGAGAGAACUCUGGUUAAGGAACUCGGCAAAAUGACCCCGUAACUUCGGGAGAAGGGGUGCUUUCUUAACGGAAAGCCGCAGUGAAUAGGCCCAAGCGACUGUUUAGCAAAAACACAGCUCUCUGCGAAGCCGUAAGGCGAAGUAUAGGGGGUGACACCUGCCCGGUGCUAGAAGGUUAAGGAGAGGGGUUAGCGUAAGCGAAGCUCUGAACUGAAGCCCCAGUAAACGGCGGCCGUAACUAUAACGGUCCUAAGGUAGCGAAAUUCCUUGUCGGGUAAGUUCCGACCCGCACGAAAGGUGUAACGAUUUGGGCACUGUCUCAACCAGAGACUCGGUGAAAUUAUAGUACCUGUGAAGAUGCAGGUUACCCGCGACAGGACGGAAAGACCCCGUGGAGCUUUACUGUAGCCUGAUAUUGAAUUUUGGUACAGUUUGUACAGGAUAGGCGGGAGCCAUUGAAACCGGAGCGCUAGCUUCGGUGGAGGCGCUGGUGGGAUACCGCCCUGACUGUAUUGAAAUUCUAACCUACGGGUCUUAUCGACCCGGGAGACAGUGUCAGGUGGGCAGUUUGACUGGGGCGGUCGCCUCCUAAAGUGUAACGGAGGCGCCCAAAGGUUCCCUCAGAAUGGUUGGAAAUCAUUCGUAGAGUGCAAAGGCAUAAGGGAGCUUGACUGCGAGACCUACAAGUCGAGCAGGGACGAAAGUCGGGCUUAGUGAUCCGGUGGUUCCGCAUGGAAGGGCCAUCGCUCAACGGAUAAAAGCUACCCCGGGGAUAACAGGCUUAUCUCCCCCAAGAGUCCACAUCGACGGGGAGGUUUGGCACCUCGAUGUCGGCUCAUCGCAUCCUGGGGCUGUAGUCGGUCCCAAGGGUUGGGCUGUUCGCCCAUUAAAGCGGUACGCGAGCUGGGUUCAGAACGUCGUGAGACAGUUCGGUCCCUAUCCGUCGUGGGCGUAGGAAAUUUGAGAGGAGCUGUCCUUAGUACGAGAGGACCGGGAUGGACGCACCGCUGGUGUACCAGUUGUUCUGCCAAGGGCAUAGCUGGGUAGCUAUGUGCGGAAGGGAUAAGUGCUGAAAGCAUCUAAGCAUGAAGCCCCCCUCAAGAUGAGAUUUCCCAUAGCGUAAGCUAGUAAGAUCCCUGAAAGAUGAUCAGGUUGAUAGGUUCGAGGUGGAAGCAUGGUGACAUGUGGAGCUGACGAAUACUAAUAGAUCGAGGACUUAACCAU